UUAUGCAUGCUACGCUACUUCGGCGUGUACUUCCCCCACGAACUGUAGGAAACCACUUGCAGGCCGACCUGAUCUGCAGUUGGGCGACCUUGGAGAAAACAGACAAAACAGAGAUGGGAUGAUAAUUCGUAAAUAAAUUGUGAUAACCUCCUUUGUGCACAACGGAAAGUCGUGUUAUCGUCAGCUUAUAAGGAAAAAUUCCUAGGAAACUCGUACAUCAAGCAUCACGUAGAAGUGCAAAUGAGCGAUGAGACACCCACAUUAUAGACAGCGAGCGAAGCUGUGUCUCGCAGCCUUCAGAAGUCCUUGGGGUUUGGUUUAUUACCGCUCGAAAUCUAUUCAAGAUUGCAAGUGCUUCACUAUAUAUGGUGGAAGGUAAAACGCUGUGCUAUAUAUCUGAGCUUACUAUAGUACGACUCUCCACCACAUCUGACGCAUGUUCCUAUGGUGCACUGACUCUACCAAUGCCGGAAUCCAGUGGUGUGUCCUGAUGGCCAACGACCCUCUCCCCCAGAGGAACUGCUGCUCGAAGGUUCCACGAGUGAAAAGAAGAUCACUGAGGUUUCUUGUUACACCCAGGAGAAGAGGGGAGGGUGGCUUUAUUGAUCAUCGGCCAUAGGGAUGAGAGGCACCAGCGGACUUGAUAUUAGUCUUGAUGGCACUUGGCAUUUUCCCGGCUGGGUGCACUGGCACAAAGAAAGAAAACUGUUCAGAUAAUGUGCCCGACGGACACUGACAGACAUGCACACAGCAAAAACGUGCUUGUGAACCUAGCCUCCUGGCAUUAAGAAUGGGUCAUGCCUUAGUAGCCAAUAAAUUAUGAAGUAAUUUGUUAUAAUACUUGUUGAACUCUUUCCAGUUUUGCUGCCUGGAAACAGAUGUGUCAUAGGUAACCCAGGCUAAAAAUUACACCUUCUAUUGCUUGCCUCCACAGUGCAUACACACAACAAAAUACUACACAAAAGCACAGUGCACCAUAGCAAAUGGAGCUGAGAAAAA